rnacentral:rRNA from 1 species
AGUGAACGCUGGCGGUAGGCCUAACACAUGCAAGUCGAACGGCAGCACAGUAAGAGCUUGCUCUUACGGGUGGCGAGUGGCGGACGGGUGAGGAAUACAUCGGAAUCUACUUUUUCUUGGGGGAUAACGUAGGGAAACUUACGCUAAUACCGCAUACGACCUACGGGUGAAAGCAGUGGAUCUUCGGACCUUGCGCGAUUGAAUGAGCCGAUGUCGGAUUAGCUAGUUGGCGGGGUAAAGGCCCACCAAGGCGACGAUCCGUAGCUGGUCUGAGAGGAUGAUCAGCCACACUGGAACUGAGACACGGUCCAGAAUCCUACGGGAGGCAGCAGUGGGGAAUAUUGGACAAUGGGCGCAAGCCUGAUCCAGCCAUACCGCGUGGGUGAAGAAGGCCUUCGGGUUGUAAAGCCCUUUUGUUGGGAAAGAAAAGCAGCAGGUUAAUACCCCGCUGUUCUGACGGUACCCAAAGAAUAAGCACCGGCUAAAUUCGUG